rnacentral:misc_RNA from 1 species
AAGUCGUAACAAGGUUUCCGUAGGUGAACCUGCGGAAGGAUCAUUAACAAAAAAACAAAAAAAAACCUUUUUUAUUUUAUUAUUUAUUUAAAUCAAACACCAUGUGAAUCUUUGUAAUUUUUAUUACAAAAAAUUAAAUAAAACCAAAAAAAAUUAAAAAAAAAUGAAAUUGAAAGAGAAAAGAAAAAGAAAAACUUUAUUGUUUUUUUUUUUAAAUUCUCCUUCAAAAAAAAUCCAAAAAUUUUUAAUCAAAGAAAUAACUCUUAACAAUGGAUAUCUCGGCUCUCGC